rnacentral:rRNA from 1 species
CCUACGGGAGGCAGCAGUGGGGAAUAUUGCACAAUGGGCGCAAGCCUGAUGCAGCCAUGCCGCGUGUGUGAAGAAGGCCUUCGGGUUGUAAAGCACUUUCAGCGGGGAGGAAGGCGGUGAGGUUAAUAACCUCAUCGAUUGACGUUACCCGCAGAAGAAGCACCGGCUAACUCCGUGCCAGCAGCCGCGGUAAUACGGAGGGUGCAAGCGUUAAUCGGAAUUACUGGGCGUAAAGCGCACGCAGGCGGUCUGUCAAGUCGGAUGCGAAAUCCCCGGGCUCAACCUGGGAACUGCAUUCGAAACUGGCAGGCUAGAGUCUUGUAGAGGGGGGUAGAAUUCCAGGUGUAGCGGUGAAAUGCGUAGAGAUCUGGAGGAAUACCGGUGGCGAAGGCGGCCCCCUGGACAAAGACUGACGCUCAGGUGCGAAAGCGUGGGGAGCAAACAGGAUUAGAUACCCGGGUAGUC